AGGAACUCAAAUCAUUGGCUCAAAGAAAAUGACAUUUAAAACUGGUGGAGAGCACAUAAAGAAAUCAUCAAUUACUGACAGAGGCAAAGGCCUAAGCUGAUAACGAUGGAACGGUUAAGAUCUGAAGGGGUGGCUGAUCGAAGGUUUUUCGACAGACUGGAAAGGAGGGAGCUAUGAUUGCCAUACAACAAUUUAACUACAGCAGAUCUUUUCUGCGGUUGUGAAGGACGUCAAGGUUCUGAGAGUGGGUGUUGACGUCAUCCGCAUCCAAGCAAAAGGGAGCCCACUACAAAACAAAAAAGAUUAAAACAUCAGCUAUGGGUUGGUGAUAAUCAUUUCCACUAAUAGAAAGGUGUAUCCAACAAUUCCUUGGAGUGGCUACUGUUCUUCCACCUCAUGCUAAUUGAAGAAAGUGGCUGAAGGCAGUACCACCUAAGUUUCUCCUCCAACCAGCAAGGUGUAGCAUCAGUAGAAUAAGGAAUCUGAACUAUAAGAGAUCAGAGCGAUGGAAAGAAGAGUCACUUUAAUCAUUCAAGAUGGUACACUCGAUCAGCUAAUUUAACAGAAGAAUAAAUUCACCGAAUGCAGCCAAGUAGAAAAUAAAAUUGCUCUGGCGUGCAUCACACAAGUACCUGAGGCCAACCAGAUAUGCAAGGAUAAGAAUAUGUACAAAGAUACCGAAAUUGACAAUGGAGUAGUGGAUAUCUUUUUGAGAGGAUGAGACCACUGGGGUCCGCUGGUCACUAGUGAUCUGAUCUUCCAUUCGUCGGGGGUACACGUGUUACAUUGAAAAAGGGAAUGAAGCAGCUCCAACAAAAGUCAGGACCACCUAAAAUGAAGCCCAAAUGCAUGGCCAUCACUUUCAUCUCAAAGGGCUAUGCAUCUCCAUUUCUUUCAGUUGGGUAGCUUUGGUCGAAGACAAUGAUUUUUAGCCAGCAUUAAAAGGAUGGGAGGAGGCGAGAGUGAACCACGUGUCCAGGAUAAAGGGAUAGGUGAAUCAGGAGCAGGACCAUAACAGGAUAAAGUGCCCCCAUUAGAUGAGCCAUCCUAUGAAGAUCCAUCACGUUGAAUUCAUAUGUCAUAUGCUGGCAGCAUCAUUGCCAGUUCACCAUGGAAGAAAUAUAGCAAAUCCAGAAUAUUCUAGGACCAGAUUUCUCAUCAACCGAUGAAUUGAACUUGUGCUCAACAGUCUCACCCAGUUGCAUUGCAUGUACUUCAAUAGCUAAAAAUGAUAUUUGCU
rnacentral:lncRNA from 1 species